UAUCCAUGACCCAAACUCAUAGUCAUGCUUUGAUACGAGUUGUUGGGAAUAUUUGACCCAUAUAUGGGCAUCUAAAACCACAUCUUGACCCAAAAAAUUAACAUAUUAAGUCUAUAAUCCUUAAUCUUUCGAUUUAAGACUUUAUUAUCGUGCGGCACCUCAACACCUAUGCCAUUGUGCUAGUUUGGCUUGGAAUUAUUGUUGCUAGCUGUUGCUGCUGAACACUUGUUGCUGCCACCAGUGCUCGAGUAGUUGUGAUUUCUGAUUUAUAUGGUGUGGUGCUGCUGCUGCUGUAGUACGGUCAAUAGAGUAUUUUGUGUGCAAUCCAUUAUUCACUAGCCAAAUUCUUUAGAAAUAUCCCUACCUUCCUUUCCCUCACUUAUCGAAUUGUACUUUGCUUUAGACGUGCCUCUGAAUACCAAAGAGUGGCGGAUGUUUUCUCAUGAGAGACAGGGAAGUGGUUUCCCGUUUCGUCUCAGUUUAUAAUUAAUAUAUCUAGCUAUCGUUUCGACCAAACCCGCAACAUCAAGGAUCGAACUAAACCUUAUGGAUUUAUCGGAGCAUCCAAAGGCAUCCUUCUCUACGUACGACAAUCAUGAUGCUGAUAACGUGAUGGUGACAGUACUUGCUGUAGUAAACAAGAUGCUAGUGGCUGUGGCGGUGUUAGUGAUUGUUUCUGAACACUGACACACACAGAUAAAUAUAUAUCAACGAUUUGAUUCAGUCUCCAAUUCUCGAAAGCCAUCGCAGAAAUUAAGCAUCAAUUCAAGCCUUAUAUCCAUUCUCAGAUGUCAUUUAUAUUGGGAUUCCUGAGAUGGUAUUUAGUUGCCAUCCCCAAACCAAUCGUUUGGAAGUGUGUUGCCAAGGAAGUCACGAAAAUAUCCUGGGGACAAUAUUGUGUCUUUUUUAUUACAGGCGCAGCUGCCGCAUUGUUCUCAGGACUUCAGAACAAGGCAUCCGAUCAAUAUAGUUCUAUUUGUGAGU
rnacentral:lncRNA from 1 species